GAUUCCAAGGCAUUUGUGCAAGGUGCCAUAGGUGGCCUUUCGCUCCAUAAGAUAAGGUGAUUCUCACCACCCUCUGCCCUAGAUGUUCUAUUAUGUCUGUUUUAGAGCUUUAGAAACUGAACCUCAGAGUGCUAAGUAAUUUGCCUAAGACACACAGUUGAUCAGGAACAGGGGAAAUGAGUGAGUUUGGGAGGGCUCUGAUGGCUUAGGAAACCAGACAUGGAAGGGAUUGCAGGCCUUGAUGAAGGCAAAGGCAAGAGCCGCAGGGGGCGGGGCUUAGGCAACGGAAAUACAACAAAAGGGAGACACAGUUAUUCGUUGGUUGUUUGAUCCAAAGUCAUGGCUUAGAUUUAUCAAAAUUUUGUAAGCAUCAGUCAAAAAUGUCAAAUCGGCAGUCAACCUCCAGCCAGCUGUUCCGGGUGGUUGUUCCUCUGUUUCUCCAUUCCCCUCUCCCAGUUAAAGAAUCCAUAACGGGGCUGAGAUUCCCUUCCUCUGUUGCACGUGGAUCACAAAUUCUACAGACCUCAAGAAACUGGAGGAAUCUAUGUUGGAUUAGUUCUAAGUAGCUCAGUUUCUACACUAUCUGUUUGGAGAAAGGAACAAACGAAUACAUUGCAUCAUCCUGCUUCUCCUCAAUAACAUACAUAUAGUGUACUAAAGAUCGUGGGACCUAAAAGAACUUUUGUGCCUCCUAGUUACACAUCAUUGAGGCUUCUCUGUGGUCUAUGCUCAGGCUUCUCUGCUACUUAAAUUUUGUUUUACAUUUAUUUAUUUAUUUUGAGAGAGAAACAGAGAGGGUGAGCAGGGGAGGGCCAGAGAGAGAGGGGGAGAGAGAGAAUCCCAAGCACACUCCACACUGUCAGCAGAGAGCCCAAUGUGGGGCUCAAACUCACAAACCAUGAGAUCAUGACCUGAGCUGAAACUAAGACUUGGACGCUUAACUGACUGAGCCACGCGGGCACCCCUCCUUUGCUACUUUAAGAGAUUUAUUCCAAGUAAACAUUAAGAAGAACUUUUUCAGUCUCUUGGGGAUUUAAAAUUAUUAAUACCGUUGCUCACUUGAUAUGUUUUUCUUGAACUCCAACUACAUUUUCAACGUUGUGCUUUUAUUUAUUUAUUUUUGGGGGGAAAGGCACUGAGAGACUUAUUUAUAACCCAGGAAUCAUCUUUAGCAGCUACCUACUUUGCCUAUGAAUCAUUCCUGAACCCAUGAAAAUUCUAAAUUACUAAGGUCAAAUGUAGGAGGAGUUUGCAGUAAGCCUGGUUGGUAGAGAUUGGAACCUGGUGUUUUGAGAGAAGCAUGAUCCAGGAGAGUGUAGGAGUCAGGCAGGGGAUUUGGGGCACUAGCUGCAAGGUGAAAUCAUCAGCAGAGCUGGAAGGUCACAGUAAAACUCUCACAAAUUAGGGAGGUCGACGUUCUGAUUGGUGGGCUGUAAAGUACAUUCGUCAGCUGCAUGCCAGGCUGGUGGAAAUGAACCAGCGCAUCUCCACCCCUACCCAGGUUCCCUUCCUCAGUCCAACCCGCCAGCAGGAGCAGCUGUCGACUGAAAACAGCCAUAAUAGCUCUGAGUCUGCUAAUCCUGCACACAUCCUCCAGGCCAGAGAGGCCACUGUGUCUAUAUGUUGGAUGAUUUUGUCAACAAUGUCCCUCUGCCAUGAUGUAAGCCUGGGAAUGGAAGAAGCAAAUGCGAAUUAGGAGACUUAUCUUUCAUAAAUGAGGUCACUAGAUUUCUUUAUUAAGAACAAAGUGCAAUCUUGCUGCCUUGUCUGGGAACAAAUAUUUCCAGAUUCUUUUGGUAUAUUUUGUUCAAACAGUGGAGGCUGAUUGCAGUAAUAUUACUGAUUGUCAGAUUAGGCAAGUUAAUUGUUAACCUAAUACAGACUGACUUAACUAAUGUACAUCUGAGUUGACUGGAGGAACCUCACCCCGUACAAAUCGGUUUCUAAAUCAAAAGAAUAUUUGAGAUCAUACCAUUUUGUUAAAGGCAAACGGACUAGUAAUGGAAAACACUGCAGGCCUAAAUAAGGCUAAGUAAGACACAUGAAUAAUCCAUGAUUGUAUUUUGAAUGUCAAGUCGGUAAAAAUCUGAACAUUAUCUAGUUAUUCAAAAACAAUAAUGCAGAAAUGUCAUGAAAAACAUAAAUGUCGAAUUCAUAAAGUACCAUCUGACAGACAUUUCAGGGGAAGCGUAGCAGCGUGAUUUCAACAACAAAAGCAUUAAUAAAACCUGAAGGGUCUUCCUGGUCUCUCCAUGAGACAUAUAUAUGACAAGUGUGGGGAUGUCUUAACAGGGAAUUUGGUGGUUUUAUCAGAAUGACGUUCUUCUUCAUGGAUUCUAAGGAAUGGGACAGGUACCAGUGCAUGGCAUUAGGGCAAUUAUGGAGAUUAAGUGUCCUCCAUAGAGGUAUGCAACACUCAUUAAACAUUUCUGAGUGGGAACUGUGUUCCAAGCACUAGGCCAACUCUGGAAAAUCUACUUAUGCUACUUUUUAACCAUUAAAUGGAAAGAAGGGGUGUGGGGAGAGAGGCAGGGUGAAAGUAGCACUAAGAGGGACAUGCUGAGAACAUACUAGAAAAUCAAAAGAGUUUCCUAACGCCCGGGCAAAUGUAAGUAUGUUUAGGAGAGGCAGUUUAGAAAUCACGAGUAUAACGUGGACUGGAAAUUAGAGACCGGAGUUUGCUUUUAAGUCUUUUAACACAGAUAUAAGUGGAAUUUAAUAUUGGAACUUGUGUUCAUAUUUUUAACUAAGCAAAAUCAAGAACAUUGUGAUCUUCACCAGUUGAGGGAGCCUUGUUUGAACAAUUACUUUCCUUUAUUCCCGAACUGUGGCUGUGUAACAAAAAAAAAAAAAAAAAAAAGAAAAAAAAAUUCUUUUUUUUUUUUUUUUUGUUUUGGAAAGUGAAUUCACAUGGUUUUGGAUUUCCUCUAUUCCUGUCGGAGAGGACCACAUGGUUGUCUAUUUCGGGAAAGCAACAGUUGAUUGAAAGGCAAUGGGUAACUGAAAGUCAGGGGUAAGGAAGUAUCACUGAGCCCUUUCAGACCCACCCUGACUGCCUCCCACAGCCUGCUGUCAACAAAAGGCACCAAGAAUGGUGGCCACAGGGUGCCUCUUAAAUCAAUUUCUCUCCAGCUCCUGCCCCACUUUAAAGCAAAAAGCAAUGUAUCCCUUGUCCUCACUGAGGAAUUGACCUUUAAUGUAACAAUUUACUCUAAAUUUAGACUUCUGCCAUCUUUACCCUGGAGACCAGAGAUUGUGUUAUAAUAGCAACUAUUUAACUCGUGUUAAUCUCUGGCCAUUCAAAAAGAGAGGUCACCUCCCUGGAGCAACUUGCCAUCUGAAAGAAGAGGGGAAAUUUAAGUGGGGAAACUGAAAUGGGAAGGGCAUUUCAACUUCUAUACUAAAAAAAUAUUUUUAAGUGAGUAACAUUGAAUUGUGAUAGUGAUGACAAUGACGAUGACCAGGAGGAGGAGGAGGAGGAGGGGGAGGUUCUGAGCCAGCCUUCUUGCUUUGAGCCAGCUGCUACAGAGGACUGCUUUCAGGGGGGAUGAUUUUUCAUCUUCAAACUAACCUCGUGAGGCUUGCCCUACUGUCUUACCUUCUAGGUGGGGAAACUGAGACUUUACGAUUAAAUCCUUGUGCAAAGUCAGACAGAAAGGGUCAGACUCAAGCCCAUGUGCACUGUAGAGUUCACUGUUUGUUCCUGCCUUUCAUUCUUCUCAGGCUAACAGAAAAGGGAAGUAGGAGUAUUGUUGUGAUAAAUACAGAAAAGGUAGCUAGAAACAGGAAAAGAGAAGAGAAGGUCAGGAUACCACAGGAAGAAAGAUGGACUGAGGAAAAAACAAGGAAAUCACAGAAGAACGAGAGGAGGGGUGUACUGGCAGAAGGGGAAACUGAGGCAGAGUGUGUCUGUGGGGCUGCUGCUGGAACAACAGGGAGGUCUGAGUUCAGAUCCUCACCCCUCUCUUACAAGUGUCUGCCUGAGCUUGUUGCCUCCUGGGCAGGGAGAGGGGCCUAAUGUAUGAGCUGAGUGUGGCUCUGGUGGCCACACCCCCCAGCUUUUAGCAAGUUACUUCACCUUCCGCAGUGUUGCCGUUUCUCAUUUGUAAAAUGGGGACAAAAUCAAUGCUCAGCUUACAAGGUCACUGUUAAGAUUAAAAGGCCACAAGUAAGAUGCCCGGAAUACGUGUGGUGUGGGCUCAAUGACUACUCACAUUGUUGUAUGAAAAAUCGGAACCUCAUUAACAAUGAUCAUCACAAGGAGGAUCAGAUAUUAAGUAUAAAGUAAGCACUCAAUCAACUAUUGUCAUUUCUUGCCAAAAUUUAAUCUUUUCUUUCCUUUCUCCUUCUUUCCUGCCUCUCAUCCUUCCUCCAUCCUUCCUUUCCAACCUUCCUCUCUUCCUUCCUUCCCUCCUCCCUGCCUGCCUGCCAGCCUUUCUUCCUUCUUUUUCUCUUUUAUUUCUUUCUUCCCUUCCUCCUCUACUCUCUUUUUUCUUGCUUUUAAAAGCUUUCUUUUUUCAACCAUAAAUCAAUGUACGUAGCCUCUCUCAGUUGAAUACUUUUAAAAUCUGGCUUUACCGGCAAUAAUUCUAAUCUCUGGACAUGAUUCUUCCCAAGGCCCUUGCCCUCAAUAAACCAGUUUGACUAUUAAGCUUCAAAAAUUCAGAUCAACACAACUAGCUCUUUCCAAACCUAGAGCAAACAUUGACAGAACAGAUUGAAGAUCUGAGCUGAUUUCUGCAAACCUGUGGUGAAUUCACCUAUGUCUCAUAUCGGGAUCUUUCAUUUCUAUUGUGUCAUGGACGACCUAAGUCAGAUUGGGAUGGAGUUGAAGUGAACUGUGCCCUAAGGGGCAACUGAGAAGAGCUGCAACCAAAAGCAGGAAGCAAGACUAGAGAAGAGGGAAGAAGACUGAGAGAGGCGAAAAACGGACACACAAACCAGGAUCCCUUUCUGAUGAAGCCUGCAUAGCAACUGGAUACACAAACUGAGAAACCAAUUCAAGAAGAAAUAUGCUUCAUGGCAUAUCCUCCAGACUCCCAUCAUCUAACUGGGGCCUUAGGACUUAUUCUGAUCAAUGGAAUAUGUACAAAAAGUAACAUACACCAUCACUCCAAAGGGUGAAGCUUCAAAUGUCCUGCAUCAUGUUCCAUAUUCUCUCAAUUCACCUGUCAGGUAAUUAAAUGUAGGUGAUCCAGUAGAGAACUCCAUGGAAGCCCUAGGAGAUAGUGGAGCUAUCCUUUUGUCAUCACUUGUACAACUCUAGGAGAGCAGCCAUUGGACUAUGGCACGAGCAGGGAGGAAACUUUGUUGAGGUAAGCUCCUGGGAUUUGGUGACUGUUUUUUAGAGUAGAUAACAUGAAUUACACCGACUAAUACAAGAGAGUCCAUUGGAUCCUCAGCAAGGGAGUGAAAUAAUUAAGUUUAUGUUUUAGUAAGAUUACCGUAGCAGUAUAUAGAGGAUAAGCUAGAGAUGGCAUGGAAAACUUGGAAGCAGGGAGACGAGUCAUAUGAUUAGUGCAAUAACCCAAGCAGGAAAUGAAGAUGUCUUGAUUUACAGCAAUGGCAGUAAAGAUGGCAAGAAGAUACAGUUACAGGAUAUUAUUAACAUGCCAGAAUCGCAGUACUCAGGGAUUAGUAUCGGGGAUCUAGAGUAGUGGUUCUUAGCCUUGCCUGCAGCCUAGGAGCUUUUAAGGAGGCUAAUAUCCAUGCCACAUUUGAGAUCAAGUAGGUCAGAAUCAGCAUAUUCAUAAACUCCCCUUGUUAUUCGAAUGUGCAGCCAAGGAUAAGAACCACUCGUUUAGAGCCAUGGUCUCAGAAUAUAGUCCCUGGAUGAGAGGUAUCAGUUUCACCUGGGAAGUUGUUAGAAAUGUAGAUUCCCAUGCCCUACCUAGGGUAAUCAAUUACUCCUGUUUAUCUGAGACUGAAGGGUUUACCAAUAAAAGAUUUUUAGUGUUAAAAUUUGAUAGUCCCCCAUAUCAGACCUACUACACUUCAAUUCAAGGGGUGAGACCCAGCAAUCUGUAUUUAUAUAAUCAGUCCAUAGCAUCCUAUUUGGCACACAAUAAGCUCUUGCCAGGUUUUUGAAUGAAUAAAUGAAUGAAGAAUCCAAAAUGUCUUGCCUAUACUCUUUGUACUAAACCAGACACCUUUAGCUCAGAUCACACUGAUAAUAGCAUUUGGAGCUACCCAGGUUAGCUCUUCAGUUUCAGAAGACUCAAAAUUAAUUCCUGCCCCGAACUAAAUUAAGACUUUGUUCUAAUCAGCAAUCUUUUUGGGGCACUGGUUUUGUCUUGUCUUUUGCCUAGUGCUGACUCUUCUGGGCAUUAAGCCCAGUUGGAAUUAAUCUGUUUUUUUUUUCUUGGACAAUGCUUCUAAUUUAAUGGAGAAAUGGUCAAUUUACUUAUUAUUAUUAUUACUCCAUUUACUAGAAUAAAGUUGUCCUGAGAUAUAGGCACAGGGUUAAAAGUCAGACCUCUAGGUUUUGCUCCUGCCUCUUACUGAAUGACCCCAACACAUCUGGAUAAACAGUCAGUCAAGCCAAGUAAACACAAACACACCCACUAUAGCUAGAGGUGGGUUAGCCAGUGCAGCCUUGUUUUCACACAUAAGGAGAGCAACCAUACACCAUGAUUUGGCAGGAUAUGUUGUCCCUGAGUAAUUAUUACUCAUGCCCCCCUUCAUUGUUAAGAGUGUCUCCAUUUAGAGAAUUAAUUAUAUGGUUACCCAAUACAUGAGGGAUUUGAGAAUUGCUUUAAUCUAAGCCUCCAACAUGCAGAAGGUUAGUGACAAAACUGGACACAUGGAAAAAAAUAUUUUCACCUCUUUCUACAUUAACCUGAUUUUCCAACAGCUCAGGAUAUGAUGGUUUUUAGUUCCAAGUUUUAUUAUAAUUAUCACUGCAAUAAUUUGACAAAAAUAUGAAUAUCACCAUAUCCAAUUUGAAGUCCUAGAGGAUCCCACUAGGAUUAGUCCAGCAUAACACACUGAGUCUAAAGCUUCUGAUUAUAUUUUAUUUUACUCCAUUUCAAUAUUAUCUAUCUAUCUAUCUAUCUAUCUAUCUAUCUAUGUACCUACCUACCUACCUACCUAUUUUUCUAUCUAUCAUCUAAGUUUCUGAUUUGAAAAUCCAACUUACAUAAGGGGAUUUCACACCAGCAAUAAAGCGGCAGCUAAGCACAUAGACCUGCAACCAGAUGCCUGCCAUGUAUUCUAGAUUCAUCAAGAGCCCGCUCUGGCUUUAAUCUCUCCACGUCUCAGUUUGCUCACGUGUAAAAGACAGAUAAUGACAAUAACAAUAGCACUUAACUCUGAGGGACUUUUAGAGACUAAAUAAUGAAUCACGCGCAUAUUAUAUAAACUACUUAGUCAUUGCCUGGCAUGUAGAAAGCACCAUGCAUGUGUGAGCUAUGAUUAUUGUUUUUAUGAUCACCUCACUUGCUACUAACCACUCUUCUCUCACUGGCACAUCAGAGUCCAGCAGCACUAAACCCUGGCCCAGAUUCCUGUGGCUUCAUGAAGCUGCAUGUCCCUGAAAGUGAGCAUGGCAAAGGCAAAAGCUACAGCUUACUGACUACUGUAUCCCAGCUACUCACUAUGGAAAUGGCAGUAAGAUUGGCUCUUAAUACAUGCUUCUUGAAUAAAUGAAUGAAAGGAUGAAUAAAAUAAUUGAGCUAUUUGUAAGACAGAUGUCUCUGCUCCAACCUCCUUUUAUGACUUUGUCUUUUGAAGGGAGUACCGUAAAAUAAAUCCCACAAAACCUUGGAUCUUUUAGCGAGUUCCUGAUUCGGAAAUGGAGCAGGAAAGACUCUGAAUAAAGCAGGAGUUAGAAUUACUGACAAUCAGGAUACAAUGCGAGAUGCAAUUUCCCUGUUUUUGUGGUGGUCUAUUGUGGACUAUCUCUGGAGUUUUAAAAUUUAAUUUUCUUACAUUGCCUGUAAUUCUAUCAGUUGGACAAUAACGUAGAUUCAUAAAUAUCUGCUUUGAAAGAAUGGAAAUACCUAUAGGGAGGGUAUAGUGUUAUUAAUAAAGAAAGAUUCAUACAUUAUAGCUCAUUCCAAUUUCAUUUUUACUGAUACCAGGUAAGAUAACUUCCACUGAAUUUAAUGGAGAUUUUGACUGCAGAAGAUGAAAGGAAUAAUAAAUUACGUGGGAUCAUGGAGUCCUUAAUGGAAAGGAUUAGGCCUAGAAGUGUGUUUCAGAAAAGUUUAGAGCCUGGGGAGCAGGAUAGCAUGAGAUGAGAAAGAGAUACAAAAGGAGAGAAAUAUUAAAAUAGUGUUUUCCUGGUUUUUGGAAUUUUUUUUUAACCCAGAGCCACAGCUAAACACAAGAAAGAGAAGAAAACUUCCUUUUUCUGUCUUGUUUUUUUUUUUUUCUCAUAACUACAUGGACACUACAUUACAGAGUUUAUGGUAGAUGUUGGGAAUAGCAUAGAAACUAUUUAUAGAUAUGGAUAUAAAGGCAAGAAUGGGUCAUGUAUUUCAAAAAGUAAGGUGCCUGGGUGGCUGGAUGGCUCAGUUGGUUAAGCAUCCAACUUCAGCUUAGGUCAUGAUCUCACUGUUUGUGAGUUCAAGCCCCACAUCCGGCUUCGUGCUGAUAGCUCA